rnacentral:rRNA from 1 species
UACAGAGGUCUCAAGCGUUGUUCGGAUUCAUUGGGCGUAAAGGGUGCGUAGGUGGGCAGGUAAGUCAGUGGUGAAAUCUCCGAGCUUAACUCGGAAACUGCCGUUGAUACUAUUUGUCUUGAAUAUUGUGGAGGUAAGCGGAAUAUGUCAUGUAGCGGUGAAAUGCUUAGAGAUGACAUAGAACACCAAUUGCGAAGGCAGCUGGCUACACGAAUAUUGACACUGAUGCACGAAAGCGUGGGGAUCAAACAGG